CGCGUAGGCGGCCGAUCAAGUCGGAGGUGAAAUCCCUCGGCUCAACUGAGGAAUUGCCUUCGAUACUGUUCGGCUUGAGUCCUGGAGAGGGUAGCGGAAUUCCCGGUGUAGCGGUGAAAUGCGUAGAGACCGGGAAGAACACCAGUGGCGAAGGCGGCUACCUGGACAGGUACUGACGCUGAAGCGCAAAAGCUAGGGGAGCAAACG
rnacentral:rRNA from 1 species